UAACGCGUAGGUAACCUGCCUGGUAGUGGGGGGUAACUAUUGGAAACGAUAGCUAAUACCGCAUAAUAGCAGUUGUUACAUGACAACUGUUUGAAAGGUGCAAUUGCACCACUACCAGAUGGACCUGCGUUGUAUUAGCUAGUUGGUGGGGUAACGGCUCACCAAGGCGACGAUACAUAGCCGACCUGAGAGGGUGAUCGGCCACACUGGGACUGAGACACGGCCCAG
rnacentral:rRNA from 1 species